CUCUGUUAGACUAUAUUAUGAUAUGAGGAUCAUCUGAAAGGUUAAAUCUUAUGAAAUAUCAUAAGUAUCCUUCCCAGAGUUUUUUGAUUUUGGCACAAAGUAGAAUGGAGAGAAAAAAGAGUCAUAUGAUAUGCACGUGACCAUCAUCUUCUCUUUUUUUGGCCAUGCUCUCUAUUCUCCAUCUAUUACAAAGAAGUGGGAAAGAGGAGGGAUGGGUGAAGGGGCAUAAAUUGGGUAGAAAAAAAAGGAGAAAUAUAAU
rnacentral:lncRNA from 1 species